CGGGCAAUUCGUUUGUGGUUAUUGCCAUUCAUUGAAACAUGCAGUGGCAAGAGGAUACUCAGACGAUAUAAAGACGACAUCGUUCAUUUCCACUGUUGUAUUUACAAGUUUGGUGUUCGGUGCUACAGUGACACCUCCA